UUAAGAUGAGAUUCUUGCUGUGAGAGGAUCUGUGUUGAGUAGGGUAGAAACUUGCUUAGUAGAAGGAAAAAGAAGGCAACUCAACAUUUCACACUUAAGUAAAAAGUCAGGGGUCCCCUAACUAAAAAUGGUUGAAGCUAGCAAUGGAGUCAUUGAAUUUCAGUGUCAGCUUUGAAUAUCAUGGAUCUUUGGGUCCAGCCCUGUAAUAUGGAGAAGGAAAUACUGGCUAUAGGGUAAGAAGCUGGACUAGGACUGAGCCCUAGAACUUUGCUUCCCAAAUCUGGGACUCAUUUAUAAGAUAACGGAAGGUCAUCCUUUCAAGAGAGAGGAUUACUUUAAAGCUAUUUGUUUGGAUACCUAUCUUUAAAAAAAUACAUUCUAUCCUUAGCAUUCCGUAAAAAUAAACAAAUCAAAUGAAAGCAUGCUGUCUAUCUACAACUACAAUAAAAAGAAUUUAAAAAAUACAUUUGCCAUAUCUCUUACUUGACCAACACUUUCUGCAACAUACCCUUAUGUUGGAUAUAUACUUACGAAGGGCAUAAUUGUAAACCUAGUUAUUAUGUAAUAUUAUGUAAUUCAGUGGCAUUGUCUGUAGCCAACUGGUUGG
rnacentral:lncRNA from 1 species